GGGUUAGGGUUAGGGUUAGGUGUGGGGUUGGAGCUAGGGUUAGGGUUAGGGUUAGGGUUGGAGUUAGGGUUAGUGUUGGAGCUAGGGUUAGGGUUGGGCUUGGAGCUAGGAUUUUUCCGAGUGCAAUGAACCAACUCCCGAGUCUCUAGGACGUUCCUAAAAAAAUUUGAUUUUUUUCCCAUAGGAAUUCAUGGGUUAGGGUUAGGGUUAGGGUUGGAGCUAGGGUUAGGGUUAGGGUUAGGGUUGGAGUUAGGGUUAGUGUUGGAGCUAGGGUUAGGGUUGGGCUUGGAGCUAGGAUUUUUCUGAGUGCAAUGAACCAACUCCCGAGUCUCUAGGACGUUCCUAAAAAAAUUUGAUUUUUUCCCAUAGGAAUGCAUGGGUUAGGGUUAUGGUUAGGGUUAGGGUUGGAGCUAGGGUUAGGGUUAGGGUUAGGGUUGGAGUUAGGGUUAGUGUUGGAGCUAGGGUUAGGGUUGGGCUUGGAGCUAGGAUUUUUCUGAGUGCAAUGAACCAACUCCCGAGUCUCUAGGACGUUCCUAAAAAAAUGUGAUUUUUUCCCAUAGGAAUGCAUGGGUUAGGGUUAGGGUUAGGUGUGGGGUUGGAGCUAUGGUUAGGGUUAGGGUUAGGGUUGGAGUUAGGGUUAGUGUUGGAGCUAGGGUUAGGGUUGGGCUUGGAGCUAGGAUUUUUCUGAGUGCAAUGAACCAACUCCCGAGUCUCUAGGACGUUCCUAAAAAAAUUAGAUUUUUUCCCAUAGGAAUGCAUGGGUUAGGGUUAGGGUUAGGUGUGGGGUUGGAGCUAGGGUUAGGGUUAGGGUUAGGGUCGGAGUAAGGGUUAGUGUUGGAGCUAGGGUUAGUGUUGGGCUUGGAGCUAGGAUUUUUCUGAGUGCAAUGAACCAACUCCCGAGUCUCUAGGACGUUCCUAAAAAAAUUUGAUUUUUUCCCAUAGGAAUGCAUGGGUUAGGGUUAGGGUUAGGGUUGGAGCUAGGGUUAGGGUUAGGGUUAGGGUUAGGGUUAGGGUUAGGGUUGGGCUAGGGUUAGGUGUGGGUAAGAGAUACAGUGAUAGCCCCCGCUUUCGUCUGUUGACUUGGCGGUUUGGGGUAGGCUAAUCAAGGGCUUGCACUGGCCGUCGCAUGUCGACCUGUCACAUGUUCCCAGUCGAGUCUCCGAGCUCAAUCUGUGUGUAAAAAACUAUGUGUGGGUAGGAAGUUUAAUUACUCAGCUCAGUUGGUAUGCUAUGCUGUCUAUCUUUUAGACUAUGUGUUUGUAGAGCAAUUAUUUCUUGAGGUUCAGUUAGGAUUUAGAGUUGGUAUGGUUACCGGUUAAAACAAUAAUAAUAAUAAUAAUAAUAAUAAUAAUAAUAAUAAUAAUAAUAGUAAUAAACAUAAUAAUAAUAAUAAUAAUAAUAAUAAUAAUAAUAAUAGUAAUAAUUUUGUUUAUUGAGAAGGACUAGGUGAUAUUAGUAGGGAGGGAAAAGGGUGAAAUUUAUCUAAGGGAGUAGGGUUAGGGUGUGUUAGUACAAAGUCUCAGAGGAUGGGGAGAGGGAAACAGGUGGUCUGGAUUAAAACCAUUCUGUUUCUACAGGGAUUCGAGUGAUAGAGAGAGAAUAGAACUUGCCACAGUGACUAGCCAGAGAAACUCUCCUCACCUGUUGUUUUUCAUCCUCUGAUACGAAAAAAGAGGGAGGGGUAAUUAAGUAAAGAUAGAGGUUAGUAAGGUUAGGGUUAGGGUUCGGGUUAGGAUUCGGGUUUAGAGGUUAGGGUUAGGGUAAGGGUAAGGGUUCGGGUUAGAUUUAGGGUCUAGAGGUUAGGGUUAGGGUUAGGGUUAGAUUUAGGGUUUAGGGGUUAGGGUUAGGGUAAGGAUUAGGGUUAGGGUUAGAUUUAGGGUCUAGAGGUUAGGGUUAGGGUUAGGGUUAGGGUAAGGGUUAGAUUUAGGGUCUAGAGGUUAGGGUUAGGGUAAGGGUUAGGGUUAGAUUUAGGGUCUAGGGGUUAGGGUUAGGGGGUUAGGGUUAGGGUUAGGGUUAGAUUUAGGGUCUAAAGGUUAGGGUUAGGGUAAGGGUUAGGGUUAGAUUUAGGGUCUAGGGGUUAGGGUUAGGGCAAGGGUAAGGGUUAGAUUUAGGGUUUAGAGGGUUAGGGUUAGGGUUAGGGUUAGGAUUUAGAGGUUAGGGUUAGGGUUAGGGUAGGGUUAGGGUUAGGGUUAGGGUUAGGGUUUAGGGGUUAGGGUUAGAUUUAGGUUCUAGAGGUUAGGGUUAGGGUGAGGGUGAUGGUUAGGGUUAGUGCCUGAAGAGAGCUAACCAUGGCUAUUUGGAAGAAUUGAAAUUCAAAGAAUACGACACUUCAGAUUGUCUAGACUCUGGACUCUGCUAAAGGUAGCAAAGCUAUGGUUGAAAGUAUUGAAAAUGCAGUAUAAAAUAUAUAAGGUUAGUUACUAAUUGUUAUUGAUAAAUUUUUAGUUAAGAGUCAAAAGUGGAUGGUCCCGUGUAGAACCCUCUGUUCCACUCAGGCCUGUGUAGGCCAAAGACCCUGCUAAGGUCCCUCAAGGCUGUGACAAAAAAUUAUUUUAGAUUAAAUUGGAAAUAUAAAUUAUUACUUUUUAAUAAAUUUUAAUUCAGAGUCAAAAGUGGAUGGUCCCGUCUAGAACCUUCUACCACUCAGACCUGUCUAGGUCAAAGACUCUGCUAAGAUCCCUCAAGGUUGUGGACUAAAAUAAUUUUGAAUUGGAAAUAUUUAUAAAUUAUUCCUUUUAAUAAAUUUUUAAUUCAGAGUCAAAAGUGGAUGGUCCCGUAUAGAACCUUCUGUUCCACUCAGGCCUGUGUAGGCCAAAGACCCUGCUAAGCUUCCUCAAGGCUGUGACCUAAAAUAAUUUUAGAUUGAAUUGGGUAUAUUAAUAAAUUAUUCCUUUUGAAUAAAUUUAUAAUUCAGAGUCAAAAGUGGAUGGUCCCGUGUAGAACCUUCUGUUCCACUCAGGCCUGUCUAGGCCAAAGACCCUGCUAAGCUUCCUCAAGGCUGUGACCUAAAAUAAUUUUAGAUUGAAUUGGGUAUAUUAAUAAAUUAUUCCUUUUUAAUAAAUUUAUAAUUCAGAGUCAAAAGUGGAUGGUCCCGUGUAGAACCUUCUGUUCCACUCAGGCCUGUGUAGGCCAAAGACCCUGCUAAGCUUCCUCAAGGCUGUGAACUAAAAUAAUUUUGAAUUGGGUAUAUUUAAAAAUUAUUCCUUUUUAAUAUUUUUUUUUAUACAUUUUUAAUUUAGAGUCAAAAGUGGAUGGUCCCGUGUAGAACCUUCUGUUCCACUCAGACCUGUCUAGGUCAAAGGCUCUGCUAAGCUCCCUCAAGGCUGUGACCUAAAAUUAUUCUAGAUUAAAUUGGAAAUAUUUAUAAAUUAUUACUUUUUAAUAAAUUUUAAUUCAGAGUCAAAAGUGGAUGGUCCCGUGUAGAACCUUCUGUUCCACUCAGGCCUGUGUAGGCCCAAGACCCUGCUAAGCUUCCUCAAGGCUGUGAACUAAAAUAAUUUUGAAUUGGGUAUAUUUAUAAAUUAUUCAUUUUAAUAAAUUUUUUAAUUCAGAAGAAUUUUAGGUUGAAUUGGGUAUAUUAAUAAAUUAUUGGUCCCGUGUAGAACCUUCUGUUCCACUCAGGCCUGUGUAGGCCAAAGUUGGGGUUAGGGUUAGGGUUGGAGCUAGGGUUAGGGUUGGGCUUGGAGCUAGGAUUUUUCUGAGUGCAAUGACCCAACUCCCGAGUCUCUAGGACGUUCCUAAAAAAAAUUAUUUUUUCCCAUAGGAAUGCAUGGGUUAGGGUUAGGGUUAGGGUUGGAGCUAGGGUUAGGGUUAGGGUUAGGGUUGGAGUUAGGGUUAGUGUUGGAGCUAGGGUUAGGGUUGGGCUUGGAGCUAGGAUUUUUCUGAGUGCAAUGAACCAACCCCCGAGUCUCUAGGACGUUCCCCAAAAAAAUUUGAUUUUUUCCCAUAGGAAUGCAUGGGUUAGGGUUAGGGUUAGGGUUGGAGCUAGGGUUAGGGUUAGGGUUAGGGUUGGAGUUAGGGUUAGUGUUGGAGCUAGGGUUAGGGUUGGGCUUGGAGCUAGGAUUUUUCUGAGUGCAAUGAACCAACUCCCGAGUCUCUAGGACGUUCCUAAAAAAAAUUGAUUUUUUCCCAUAGGAAUGCAUGGGUUAGGGUUAUGGUUAGGGUUAGGGUUGGAGCUAGGGUUAGGGUUAGGGUUAGGGUUGGAGUUAGGGUUAGUGUUGGAGCUAGGGUUAGGGUUGGGCUUGGAGCUAGGAUUUUUCUGAGUGCAAUGAACCAACUCCCGAGUCUCUAGGACGUUCCCUAAAAAAAAUUGAUUUUUUUCCCAUAGGAAUG
rnacentral:lncRNA from 1 species